rnacentral:rRNA from 1 species
AUUGAACGCUGGCGGCAUGCUUUACACAUGCAAGUCGAACGGCAGCGCGGGCUUCGGCCUGGCGGCGAGUGGCGAACGGGUGAGUAAUGCAUCGGAACGUGCCCAGUAGUGGGGGAUAGCCCGGCGAAAGCCGGAUUAAUACCGCAUACGACCUGAGGGUGAAAGCGGGGGACCGAAAGGCCUCGCGCUAUUGGAGCGGCCGAUGUCGGAUUAGCUAGUUGGUGGGGUAAAGGCUUACCAAGGCGACGAUCCGUAGCUGGUCUGAGAGGACGACCAGCCACACUGGGACUGAGACACGGCCCAGACUCCUACGGGAGGCAGCAGUGGGGAAUUUUGGACAAUGGGGGCAACCCUGAUCCAGCCAUGCCGCGUGCGGGAAGAAGGCCUUCGGGUUCUAAACCGCUUUUGUUCGGGAAGAAAUCCUCUGGGCUAAUACCCCGGGGGGAUGGCGGUACCGGAAGAAUAAGCACCGGCUAACUACGUG